CCGAUUUCUCCGCUCAAGUGAGUGACCACGCGACCACGCGACGGCGCCCGCAUUGGUAGCUGAAGGCAGGCCGGCCAUGGCUGCGCGGUGGCAGCCCUCGCCGGAUGAGCGUGUAGUGGACCAAGUCCGGCGCGCUCUUCCGUCGAGGGUGGCUGCCGGCGACGCGCACAUGGCCCUAUUAAGCGGUGGGAGGUCCAUUUCUUCGGUGGUUGCCGGCGUGAUACUUCGAAGCUGAUGACAGCGUGCAAGGCGCAGAGGCCAGGCGACGCACGCGUCCAUUUGCGCAGCAGCGGCGGCUGCAUCCUUCCGCACGCCUCCCCGAGAGACGGCAGCGUUCCAGCCAUGGCAUGCACGCACGGCGGCGGCCGUGCGGCCCCGAACACUGGCAUCAUUUAAAUCAAUACCAUCAGAUAGAGGGCAAGUCAACAUCGCGCCACAAUGUCGAAGACGAAGGGAUCAAACCUUCCUGAUGGUGGAUAAGAGAAGAGGAGGGUUAUCUGCAAUACCAGAUUUGAGUUGUUGACUAUGAUCCCACCUGUGAUCUCAGUCAUUAUGUUCCUUACCGAACUGGUGGGGACUUUCCAAGUUUCCAUUGGUUGUUGGUUUUCACGAGAUACUUCACCUGGAAUCAAUGUACUAGCUGGUAUGUGGGUCCAUAUAUAUUGUGCAUGUGGGUCCAUAUAUAUUACUCAUCCGUCUUCUCCCGACAAGAAUCGGGGUCUGUUGGGCAACACACACGAUUGUAGCUAUCAUAUCAAUUGGUCAUUGAUGGGAAAGGCCAACGGUAGUAGUAUAAAUCUGGAUGAGACGGGACGAAGAGAGUAUGCAAUAGAUUAGUAGUGGGGAAUAGGAGACACCGGGAAUAAGAGCAUGGGUCUUGUUUCACUUCAUAGGUCUCUGAUGUAUCCCUAGGACUAGGGAUAGUUUUAGAUUUGAAUCCAAACACACAAUGCACGUUAGGCUUCAUUGGCAGUAGGUGCGGUAGGUGAAUUUGAAGGGAACAAACUCCUCCGCAUGUUGCGUUGAAGAAUGUAGUCACGUAAUUAAUUAACGUGCAUGUAACUUUUCAUAUACUAGCUGUUAUGUCGCUGACUCCCAAAAAGCCCGGCUCAAAUUAAUCUCUGCAGACCGAAGCAAAUUUCAAGGGGUGCGCUGAUGAGAUCAGGCCCCGUGGCCGCGCUUGUAUCAUGGUGGCAACUCCACAACAGUAGAAGCUAGUUAGAAAUAUGCCAUGCUUGCUUACUGAGCAGGUGGCUCAGCAGUGGACCUCGGCAGUCGUGGGCAACCACCAUGACGAAACUAUACCUGAUUGAAUUAUAGUUGUAUCAAAUGGCCAGUAGGACCAAGUAUUGUAGGUCAUGCGAUUCGGCGUUAGAUUUGUAAAAAUUUAAGCUACCACCGUCCUCUGCUCAUGUUGAAUGGUAUAUUUUUGUUAUUCUGCUUUUUUUUAUAUUUCUACUUUGUUUUUCUGAAUCCCGGAAAUUAAAGAGACAUCCAAGAUC